UACGAAGGGAGCGAGCGUUGUUCGGAAUCACUGGGCUUAAAGCGUGCGUAGGCGGGUAGGGAAGUCAGAAGGGAAAUCCCUGGGCUUAACCCAGGAAUUGCUUUUGAAACUCCCUGUCUAGAAACCGAGAGAGGUUAGCGGAAUAUCCAGUGUAGAGGUGAAAUUCGCAGAUAUUGGAUGGAACACCAGUGGCGAAGGCGGCUAACUGGCUCGGUAUUGACGCUGAGGCACGAAAGCGUGGGUAGCAAACAGG
rnacentral:rRNA from 1 species